AAGGGUGCGCGGAAACUGGCGGCUAGAGUGCGGGAUGGGAGAGUGGAUUCCUGGUGUAGCGGUGAAAUGCGUAGAUAUCAGAGAUACCGGUGGUGUAGACGGCUCUCUGGACCGCAACUGACGCUGAAACACGAAAGCGUGGGUAGCAAACAGGAUUAGAUACCCUGGUAGUCCACGCCCUAAACGAUGCAUAUUUGGUGUAGGUCAUUCAGUUGAUCUGUGCCGGAGCUAACGCGUUAAAUAUGCCGCCUGGGGAGUACAGUCGCAAGGCUGAAACUCAAAGGAAUUGACGGGGGCCCGCACAAGCGGUGGAGCAUGUGGUUCAAUUCGACGCAACGCGAAGAACCUUACCUGGGCUCGAACGGCUGGUCAACGAUCGUGGAAACACGGUUACUCCGCAAGGGGGUCCAGUCGAGGUGCUGCAUGGCUGUCGUCAGCUCGUGUCGUGAGAUGUUGGGUUAAGUCCCGCAACGAGCGCAACCCUCGUCCUGUGUUGCCAUCAUUCAGUUGGGAACUCGCAGGAGACCGCCAGCGAUAAGCUGGAGGAAGGUGGGGAUGACGUCAAGUCCUCAUGGCCUUUAUGUCCAGGGCUACACACGUGCUACAAUGGCCGGUACAAUGCGCUGCUAAGUCGUAAGACGGAGCCAAUCGCAAAAAACCGGUCUCAGUUCGGAUUGCAGGCUGCAACUCGCCUGCAUGAAGCUGGAAUCGCUAGUAAUGGCAUAUCAGAACGAUGCCGUGAAUACGUUCCCGGGCCUUGUACACACCGCCCGUCACAUCACGAAAGUGGAUUGUACUAGAAGUCCGCACGCUGACCCGCAAGGGGAGCAGCGGCCCAAGGUAUGAUUCAUGAUGGGUAAGUCUACAGUGUUGAGUCACAAC
rnacentral:rRNA from 1 species